GAUGAACGCUGGCGGCGUGCCUAAUACAUGCAAGUCGAGCGAACGGACGAGAAGCUUGCUUUUCUGAUGUUAGCGGCGGACGGGUGAGUAACACGUGGAUAACCUACCUAUAAGACUGGGAUAACUUCGGGAAACCGGAGCUAAUACCGGAUAAUAUUUUGAACCGCAUGGUUCAAAAGUGAAAGACGGUCUUGCUGUCACUUAUAGAUGGAUCCGCGCUGCAUUAGCUAGUUGGUAAGGUAACGGCUUACCAAGGCAACGAUGCAUAGCCGACCUGAGAGGGUGAUCGGCCACACUGGACCUGAAACACGGUCCAGACUCCUACGGGAGGCAGCAGUAGGGAAUCCUCCGCAAUGGGCGAAAGCCUGACGGAGCAACGCCGCGUGAGUGAUGAAGGUCUUCGGAUCGUAAAACUCUGUUAUUAGGGAAGAACAUAUGUGUAAGUAACUGUGCACAUCUUGACGGUACCUAAUCAGAAAGCCACGGCUAACUACGUG
rnacentral:rRNA from 1 species